UACGGAGGGGGGCUAGCGUUGUCCGAAGUUACUGGGCGUAAAGCGCGCGUAGGCGGGUUGGUAAGUCCGCUGUGAAAGCCCGGAGCUCAACUCCGGAGGGUCGGUGGAUACUGCCAGUCUUGAAGGUGCUAGGGGGAGAUGGAAUUACCGGUGUAGCGGUGAAAUGCGUAGAUAUCGGUAGGAACACCAGUGGCGAAGGCGGUCUGCCUGGGGCAUUCUUGACGCUGAGGCGCGGAAAGCUGGGGGAGCGAACGGG
rnacentral:rRNA from 1 species